rnacentral:rRNA from 1 species
CAGUCGCCACGGUAAUACGAAGGGUGCAAGCGUUAAUCGGAAUUACUGGGCGUAAAGCGUGCGUAGGCGGUUUGUUAAGUCUGCUGUGAAAUCCCCGGGCUCAACCUGGGAAUGGCAGUGGAUACUGGCUCGCUAGAGUGUGUCAGAGGAUGGUGGAAUUCCCGGUGUAGCGGUGAAAUGCGUAGAGAUCGGGAGGAACAUCAGUGGCGAAGGCGGCCAUCUGGGACAACACUGACGCUGAGGCACGAAAGCGUGGGGAGCAAACAGGAUUAGAGACCCCGGUAGUCCCUGUCUCUUAUAC